rnacentral:rRNA from 1 species
UACGGAGGGGGCUAGCGUUGUUCGGAAUUACUGGGCGUAAAGCGCACGUAGGCGGCUUUGUAAGUUAGAGGUGAGAGCCCAGGGCUUAACCCUGGAAUUGCCUUUAAGACUGCAUCGCUCGAAUUGUGGAGAGGUGAGUGGAAUUCCGAGUGUAGAGGUGAAAUGCGUAGAGAUCCGGAAGAACACCGGUGGCGAAGGCGGCCUGCUGGGCAGUUGCUGACACUGAGGCGCGACAGCGUGGGGAGCAAACAGG